rnacentral:rRNA from 1 species
GUACCUACGGGGCGCAGCAGUGAGGAAUAUUGGUCAAUGGGCGAGAGCCUGAACCAGCCAAGUCGCGUGAAGGAUGACGGCCCUACGGGUUGUAAACUUCUUUUGUCAGGGAGCAAUUGAGUCCACGUGUGGGCUUAGCGAGAGUACCUGAAGAAAAAGCAUCGGCUAACUCCGUGCCGGCAGCCGCGGUAAUACGGAGGAUGCGAGCGUUAUCCGGAUUUAUUGGGUUUAAAGGGAGCGUAGGCGGAAUAUCAAGUCAGCGGUAAAAAUUCGUGGCUCAACCCCGUCGUGCCGUUGAAACUGAU